rnacentral:rRNA from 1 species
GAGUUUGAUCAUGGCUCAGGAUUAACGCUAGCGGCAGGCCUAAUACAUGCAAGUCGAACGGCAGCACGGGUAGCAAUACCUGGUGGCGAGUGGCGCACGGGUGCGUAACACGUAUGCAAUCUACCUUUAACUGGGGAAUAACCCCUCGAAAGAGGGGCUAAUACCGCAUAAUACUUUGAUGGGACAUCCCAAUGAAGUCAAACCUACGGGGGUUAAAGAUGAGCAUGCGUCCGAUUAGCUAGUUGGCGGGGUAACGGCCCACCAAGGCGACGAUCGGUAGGGGAUCUGAGAGGAUGAUCCCCCACACUGGUACUGAGACACGGACCAGACUCCUACGGGAGGCAGCAGUAAGGAAUAUUGGACAAUGGGCGCAAGCCUGAUCCAGCCAUGCCGCGUGCAGGAUGAAAGUGCUAUGCACUGUAAACUGCUUUUGUUUGGGAAAAACCCCUGGUUCUACGGGGCUGAUUGUACCAAAGAAUAAGGGACGGCUAACUUCGUGCCAGCAGCCGCAGU